CCAGUAUCAGGAUCAUAGAGUGGUCUUUGUAGAGUUGCACAUCCAUGAUGGCAGCCCCUAUAGCUACAGCUCUUUAUUGUCUCCAGGUGUGCUGAAUCCCAGAAGCUGAGUUCAAGAGGUAAAUGGAUCUGCACAGCCUGAAAGGCAAGGAAGACCAAUUGAUUUGAUCUAACAAGAAGCUGUAGUUCUUGGGCAGUGAGCGUGGAUAAGUGCCAAGAGUCUGUCAUAAGAGGAAGACUUGAAUCAUCUUGGUCUAAACACCAGCAUAUCAAACCUAUUUUAUCACUGUUUGACAAAGACUAACCUCCACGUCUGCUGAAAAGGAAGAUGAAACUCAUCUGUCUGCUCUUCUCGA